AUCAACGCUGGCGGCGUGCCUAACACAUGCAAGUCGAACGAGAAAGUGGAGCAAUCCAUGAGUACAGUGGCGACCGGGUGAGUAACACGUGACUAACCUACCCUCGAGUGGGGAGUAACUCCGGGAAACCGGAGCUAAUACCGCAUAACAUCGCAAGAUCAAAGCCGAAAGGCGCUUGAGGAGGGGGUCGCGGCUGAUUAGCUAGUUGGUAGGGUAAUGGCCUACCAAGGCAAAGAUCGGUAGCCUGGUCCUGAGAGGAUGCUCACGACACACUGGGACUGAGACACGGUCCCAGACUCCUACGGGAGGCAGCAGUGGGGAAUUUUGCGACAAUGGGGAAAGCCUGAUCCAGCAACUGCCGCGUGGAGGAAUGAAGGCCUUGGGACUGUAAACCGCUUUCGACCCGGACGAUACUGACGGUACGGGUGGAAGAAGCACCGGCUAACUCUGUGCCAGCAGCCGCGGUAAUACAGAGGGUGCGAGCGUUGUUCGGAAUUAUUGGGCGUAAAGGGCGCGUAGGCGGUGCGGUAAGUCACCUGUGAAAUCUCCUGGCUCAACUGGGAGUCUUGCAGGCGAAACUGCCGUGCUGGAGUGUGGGAGAGGUGCGUGGAAUUCCUGGUGUAGCGGUGAAAUGCGUAGAUAUCAGGAGGAACACCUGUGGCGAAAGCGGCGCACUGGACCACAACUGACGCUGAGGCGCGAAAGCUAGGGGAGCAAACAGGAUUAGAUACCCUGGUAGUCCUAGCCCUAAACUAUGGAUGCUUGGCUGUGAUCGGUACCCAAUCCGAUCGUGCGCAGCUAACGCGAUAAGCAUCCCGCCUGGGGAGUACGGUCGCGAGGCUGGAAACUCAAAGGAAUUGACGGGGGCCCGCACAAGCGGUGGAGCAUGUGGUUCAAUUCGACGCAACGCGAAGAACCUUACCUGGGCUCGAAAUGGCAGUGGAAUCCGGUGGAAACAUCGGCGCCCGCAAGGGCCGCUGCGAGAGGUGCUGCAUGGCUGUCGUCAGCUCGUGUCAGUGAGAUGUUGGGUUAAGUCCCGCAACGAGCGCAACCCUUAUCGUUAGUUGCCAUCGGGUCAAGCCGGGCACUCUAGCGAAACCGCCUCGGAUAACGGGGAGGAAGGUAGGGAUGACGUCAAGUCCUCAUGGCCUUUAUGUCCAGGACUACACACGUGCUACAAUGCACGGUACAAACCAUCGCAAACCCGCGAGGGGGAGCUAAUCGGAAAAAGCCGUACUCAGUUCGGAUUGGAGUCUGCAACCCGACUCCAUGAAGCUGGAAUCGCUAGUAAUCGCAGAUCAGAACGCUGCGGUGAAUACGUUCCCGGGCCUUGUACACACCGCCCGUCACAUCACGAAAGUGGACCAUACUAGAAGCAGGUGGGCCAACCGCAAGGGGGCAGCCUUCCAAGGUAUAGUUCAUGAUUGGGGUG
rnacentral:rRNA from 1 species